GCUAGCUACAGGCUUAACACAUGCAAGUCGAGGGGAAACGGCAUUAAGUGCUUGCACUUUUUGGACGUCGACCGGCGCACGGGUGAGUAACGCGUAUCCCACCUGCCCCUUACCAGGGAAUAACCCGUUGAAAGACGGACUAAUGCCCUAUGCAGUCCUUUGACGGCAUCAGAUUAGGACUAAAGAUUCAUCGGUAUGGGAUGGGGAUGCGUCUGAUUAGCUUGUUGGCGGGGUAACGGCCCACCAAGGCAUCGAUCAGUAGGGGUUCUGAGAGGAAGGUCCCCCACAUAGGAACUGAGACACGGUCCUAACUCCUACGGGAGGCAGCAGUGAGGAAUAUUGGUCAAUGGGCGCUAGCCUGAACCAGCCAAGUAGCGUGCAGGAUGACGGCCCUAUGGGUUGUAAACUGCUUUUAUGCGGGGAUAAAGUCACCCACGUGUGGGUGUUUGCAGGUACUGCAUGAAUAAGGACCGGCUAAUUCCGUGCCAGCAGCCGCGGUAAUACGGAAGGUCCGGGCGUUAUCCGGAUUUAUUGGGUUUAAAGGGAGUGUAGGCGGCCUGUUAAGCGUGUUGUGAAAUGUAGAUGCUCAACAUCUGAACUGCAGCGCGAACUGGCUGGCUUGAGUACACGCAACGUGGGCGGAAUUCAUGGUGUAGCGGUGAAAUGCUUAGAUAUCAUGAGGAACUCCUAUUGCGAAGGCAGCUCACGGGAGUGUCACUGACGCUUAAGCUCGAAGGUGCGGGUAUCAAACAGGAUUAGAUACCCUGGUAGUCCGCACGGUAAACGAUGGAUGCCCGCUGUUGGCGCUUUGCGUCAGCAGCUAAGCGAAAGCAUUAAGCAUCCCGCCUGGGGAGUACGCCGGCAACGGUGAAACUCAAAUGAAUUGACGG
rnacentral:rRNA from 1 species